UCCCUGGUAGCCCAGUGGCUAAGACUCCAAGCUCCCAAUUCAGAGGGCCUGGGUUCUAUUCCUAGUCAGGGAA
rnacentral:tRNA from 1 species